rnacentral:lncRNA from 1 species
UUUUAUCAUCGGCUUCGUAGCCGCUCUACCAUAGUUAAUAAGUGUCAUUGAUUGGGACGUAGAGAAAAGACAAAGAAGACGCUGUUCGCAAUGGCCAAGUACCAGGAGGAAGACGACAGCCUGCGAAGGCUCGUGCUCGCCUUUGCCGUGACGGCGUGCCUGUUGUGCGUGGUCCUCGCUCUUUCUGUGUACCGCCGGAGGGAACCUCCAAAACAAGACGUCGACGACUCGGCCAGCGCCCC